rnacentral:tRNA from 1 species
AAAGAUUUAGUUUAAAAUUAAAACAUUAAUUUGUCAAAUUAAAAAAACUUUAAUUUAAGUAAUCUUUA